UACGUAGGGUGCAAGCGUUGUCCGGAAUUAUUGGGCGUAAAGAGCUCGUAGGCGGUCUGUCGCGUCGGCUGUGAAAACCUGGGGCUCAACCCCAGGCCUGCAGUCGAUACGGGCAGACUAGAGUCCGGCAGGGGAGACUGGAAUUCCUGGUGUAGCGGUGAAAUGCGCAGAUAUCAGGAGGUACACCGAUGGCGAAGGCAGGUCUCUGGGCCGUUACUGACGCUGAGGAGCGAAAGCAUGGGGGAGCGAACAGG
rnacentral:rRNA from 1 species